rnacentral:tRNA from 1 species
UGGGACAUAGCUCAGUUGGUAGAGUGCUUGCCUUGCAUGCACAAAGCCCUGUGCAUGCAACCCUGGGUUCAAUCCCCAGCACCACAA